rnacentral:rRNA from 1 species
AACGUAGGACACAAGCGUUAUCCGGAGUUACUGGGCGUAAAGGGCGUGUAGGCGGAUCAAUAAGUUCUAUUCUGGAAAGCUCCUGGCUAAACUGGGAGAGGCGAAUGGAGACUGUUGGUCUAGAGUGAGGAAGAGGAAAGUGGAAUUCCGCGUGAUAGUGGUGAAAUGCGUAGAGAUGGCGGAGGAACACCAGUGGCGGAAAGCGGCUU